rnacentral:rRNA from 1 species
UACGUAGGGGCCGAGCGUUGUCCGGAGUUACUGGGCGUAAAGCGCGUGUAGGCGGCUAUGUAAGUCGGGCGUGAAAUCCCACGGCUCAACCGUGGAAGUGCACCCGAAACUGCGUAGCUAGAGUCCUGGAGAGGAAGGUGGAAUGCUUGGUGUAGAGGUGAAAUUCGUAGAUAUCAAGCGGAACACCGGUGGCGAAGGCGGCCUUCUGGACAGUGACUGACGCUGAGACGCGAAAGCGUGGGGAGCAAACAGG